rnacentral:rRNA from 1 species
UACGGAGGGUGCAAGCGUUAUCCGGAUUCACUGGGUUUAAAGGGUGCGUAGGCGGCCUGUCAAGUCAGUGGUGAAAGCCCGCGGCUUAACCGUGGAAUUGCCAUUGAAACUGACUGGCUCGAGUGUAAUUGAAGUGGGCGGAAUACAUCAUGUAGCGGUGAAAUGCUUAGAUAUGAUGUAGAACACCAAUUGCGAAGGCAGCUCACUAAGUUAUAACUGA